UCAAAAGUCAGUCGGGGGCUCAAGGCCUUCGUCUACACCCAUGUCUUUUGCGUACUUCAUUGUUUCCUCGGUGGCGCUAAGUCCGCCGAAUUGGACAAACCAAAACCUUUUUGUAAUUGCAAUCAGCGUCAUUAAAAUAAUCUAAUUAUUUA
rnacentral:misc_RNA from 1 species